GCCCGCCGUCGGGCUCGUGUCCGUCCAGCACCUCCAGCUCCACCACAAAGGGCGUCUGCACGUCGCGCUUGAUCAGGCGCCAGAAAGGCCGAUCGGGCUCCAUGGCCCAGAGCAGCCCCAUGGGCUCGAGCCCCGAGAAGCUGCCGCCCAGCGCGGGCGUGCGCGCCAGGUCCAGCUCGCCGUGGGAGUCCGCGCGGUAGCGCGCGUGGGCUCGGAAGAGCGCGCCCUUCUCGUCGCGCAGGACAGAGCGCAGCGUGACGGGCUGCUCCGGGGCCAGGCCGCGCACAGCGAUGUGCACCGGCUGGUCACAAAGGCAACCACCCGCGGGCUCCAGGAUCACAGUUCCAAGAUGCUUCUCAGACUAGAACCCAGACAUGUGAGCCGCUGGCCAGCCGCAACAGAUCUGGCGACCCAACGCGGGACUGAGAAACAACAGAGGACAUUUGGAAGAAGCACUGCUGGUUUGGAGCUCCAUAGAAGAAGAAAAUAAUUAAAGGAAAUUCAUACCGGAGAAAGUCGGAUUGUUGUGGCAUAUCCCGAGCUAGUGUCUCGCCAGCAUGAACACACUCGGACAACCGGAUUCUUCUACAGCAAAGCUUUACUGCUUCAUCAGAAGGAAGACCCCGAACCCGGAAAAUGGCGCUGCUUAUAUACUCCUCCGCACGGCGUGUCAGCACCUGAUUUGUUGCUCGCCCAUCACCUCAUUGCUACUUGGCACGAAUUUACUCUUGCACCUGCGCACAUUACUUGUUUACCAGUUAGGCACAGCGGAGGCCAGCGCCAUCUUGUAAUGGCAAUUGCUCACGGCUCUCCGCAGUGACAAAAGGCUCCUCUAAUGUGGAUACAUUUGAGGAUUUCUCCUAAACGUAACAUCCUGCCAUAUUAUGAAGCAGUAGCUCAGAUGACCAUACUUGGAAGGAAACAGGCACUAACUUAUUUUGGCAAAGAGCCAGAUAUCAUUGUUCAGCCUUACAGCGUAGACCAAGAUACUUGGCUGAAGCAGCACAGUACGGAUUGGUUGCUUGCUCAAAUAGGAUUUGUAGGAACUAUAGAUAAUCAUUAUCCUCAAGAUAGGUUGAUAAAAAUUUUAAAUGUACAUGAGGUGAUAUUUCCUAAAAUGACAUUCUUACAGCCUUUAUAUAAUGCUCUAUUGAUUUUUACUGACGGCUCCUCUAAAGGGCGAGCUGGAUAUCUUAUGUAGUUGUAGUUAUACCCCCAAAGUCACCAAAAGCACAUCUUGCUUUUUUCUUGUUCAUUUUAAAUUUCUUGCAAACUGAUGUUAAAGGUCAGUCUGCAGCAGAUCGCCACUGGCAUCCAGUUACUUCCAGUUCUUAUGUCAUGAUUAAAUGGCGGGACCCAUUAACUAAUAUGUGGAAUGGUCCAGUCCCCGUUUUAAUCUGGGGAAGAGGUUCUGUCUGCCUCUUUUCACAAAAAGAAGAUGGAGCGCGAUGGCUGCCUGAAAGACUGGUUCGUCAAGUGGACACAGAUCCACUUGAAUCUUCUAGUAAGUAUGAUUCUAACCUCCUUGAUGGCUAAAAAUCCUUUUUAGCUAAAAAAGUUAAUUUGGAGCACAGCCUCCACUUUCAGAGAAUCUCAGGCUCUUAUGCUAAUUCUCAAAGCCAGCUCCCCAACACCAGGAGGUCAGAGUCUGAGCUUGAUUGUUGCUAAUUUGCAACUGAAUAAAGUACCUGGGCUUCCACAAAGAAGCUUUUAUCCUGUUGCUUUUCAACUAUCUUGACUUUGUUUGUCAGGCAGGUUAGUCUCUCCUUACAGCCUGAUUCCAGCAAGCAUGCAGCCUUGCCUCCAGCAAGUGCAGGUAGCAGAAAUUCAUCAAUAUGAAGAAGGAUAUUCAGUAUAUAUUGUGGCUUUGGUCUGAUUUGGGAAUAGGUGUGCUAUGAGGGCCGGACAGUCAAUGACGGGCAACCAGAUUUUGGAGCCAUAUCAAUCUAAGACAGAGGUACAUGCCAAGAGGCCGUGGUUUGUUAAUAAUACACCACAGAGCCAUGUUUGUGUAACAUAAACACAAACAAGCUGCAUGUAUGCUCCUUGAGGGAUAAGAAUGGCUCAGGAAAAUCUGAGAUCCUAAAACAGGCAUGGCCGCCAGCCACCAUAACUCCCAGGCAGGACUAUGGAGCAUAAAUAAAAUUUUAUGUCUCGGUCCAGCUAUUUUUAUUAUAUAAUCAGGGGGAAAAUUGUAGCCUCCCCCAGCCUGAAGUGGGCUGAUGCAAACCUUGCUGCCACUGAGAAUGAGACCACCUGGGGUGGAGCCUUUGGACCUAGAUGGCUCUAUUGUUCUGUCACCUGCCACUGCUCUCCUCCAAGACACUGCUACCUGCUGAGAGGCCCCUGAGAUAUUCUGGGGGCACAUCCUAUCCUGCACUUCGCCUGUAGGCUGGCUCCAGGCACCAAGAAUGGAUUGGUGGGGGAUGGGCUUUCCCCUUUUUAAGCACAGUCUCUGAGUAAAGUCUCGGGCCUUGAUCAGAACAUUUGUCUUGACUUCAUUAUCUUUUCUUUUCUCGAAGUCUAAGUCUCUUUCAGCCCCAGCCUGCCUUCCAGAAAUACCCAGUUCAUGUAGGCUGUGGGCCUGCUUACAACAUAAUCCCACACAGGCCUGGAGGCAGGGCUUCCAGGUGAUUCUAGAGCUCACAGAAUUGACAGUUGAUAUCAACCGGCAAGCAAGCUGGUCUUUACUAUAAGCAGAAGUAGAUUCACUGCACUCGGCUGAAGCUUGUGGCCUCCUAAGUGAGACAGACAGGGUAGCCCAGUGUCUAGCAUCAAACUGUUUUAUUGAUUUCAUUCUUCCCACCCUGCAUCGCCUCCUCCCUGAUUUGCCGGUUUAGACAAUGUUAUCCAUUUCCCAUAUGCUUUUUUUUUUUUUUUAAGAAUUAGUUUGAGCUAGAAAUUAUUAAUUCCUUCUUGAGAUUACUUCAAGGUGUUGUGUGGGGUCUCAUUACUUUCUGUUAUCCACGUUGCCCCCUAGCACCUCAGGUGUAAGAUUAUCUAUGGUUUGAAAGGAAGUCUUUUCCCAAGAGCCUGCACCACACUCUUUUUAAGCUGUGUCCACAGCUCCAGGGCAAGAUGUGGGAACUCUUUUGUGCCCUGACCCCUUUCUCAGCUUCUCCAUUGAUGUCUAACUUCUGUCAAACAUUGGGAAGAGAUGGUUUGGAGAAAAGGGCGUUAAGAACCAACUCCGGACUCUCAUUUUUAAUCAGGAAAACAGAUUGAACAGGCUUUGUGGUUUCUAAUUCAAUUUUUUUAUGACAAGGAUUUCAACCAAGGUUGAUGGAACCAGCAACACGAGAGAGCAAGUCAUGUGGGGAAGCAGAGUGUAAAUCCGCAAUCUGUGCUCAGUAGGUCUCAGCAUUGGGAGGUGACAGGGGUGGGGGUGCCACUUGAGGGCUUCCCAGCAUUGGGAGGUGACGUCAGGGGCACUUGAGGGCUUCCCAUUUUCUGUUUUGAAUAGGAAUAGCAGUCGAUGUUAUCUUAUUUCUCUUCAAGCAUGGGGUCAUGGAUUGCAUUCCUAGCGAUAGUUAACCCGACUCACAAGCACUCGGCAGAAGAAAGAUACUCAAGGAGCUAUGUCCAAGGGACUCCUUUGAGGAACCCCAUCUGUAUCCAAGCCUCUUGGACCUACAGGGAGCAUGGUGCUUUGAUCAAGGAGGGAUGGGUAUAUUUUGCAUAUAAAGGAAAUGCGUGGCUAGAUACAGUCUCUUUUCCCAAUUCAUGUAUUUGUCUAGAAUCUUGCUACGAUCCUUUUAGGAGUUAUACUCCACUCUUCUUGAACUUGGGUGGACCUUCAUAACUGCUUUGACCAACAGAAUAUGGCAAGAGUGAUGUUUAGCAGGCCCCAAAGGGAGGACAAAGAGUUACUUUGUAACUCUGCUUCACGUUCCUAGAUUGUUCACUCAGAGCUCAGCUUGAGGAGCCAGUGACCAGGUCCAGGUGGGUUCCCCCCUAGCUCACGGAUCUGUUUGAAUUCUAGGUUGAAAGUCAGCACCAACCUCUCUGCCAUCAAAGUAGACCCUCCAACCAUGAGUCAAAUAGAGGGGAUUUGUUCCUAAUGUCUUGCAUAGUUUAAAGUCUUGAAAAAAAAGUGAUUUUUAUCUUAAGCAACUUUAUUUCCAUGUGCUCUCUUACACAUAAUAGACCCCAAACAAGUCACCUAAAAAAGAAUGCUAAUUUAUUUUGUUUACAAUUCCACACUUUAGACAAGGAUUAACAAGAACAGCCCUUCUGUGCCCCCAAGGGAUCGGAAGUUGGCUAGGAAGAGUCAAAUGAUUGGAGCUGGAAUCCUCUGGAAUUUUUCCACUCACUACCUGAUACAUUGUCUGAUAACACUCCUGAUCUCACCUCAGUUGGCAGAGUCACUGGUAGACCUACAGUUUCCUACUCCAUGUGGGUUUAUUAUUAGUAUUUUGUAACUCUAUGUUACAGAUACACGCUGUUUUUCUUUAUGUAUUUUUGUACACAAACACACACACACACACACACACACAAAACCCUGGUGCCUCUGGAGGCCAAACGAGGGCAUUUAGAAAUUGUUCAUUUCACAAGACCGGAUGUCUCUGCGAUUCCAAUCUAAUGCUGGCGUCCCAGGGAAGUCCUAGAGAGCUGCAGACUCUUCUUCGAUCUUCACUGGAAUUCCAAAGAAGUAGGUUCUAACUCCAGUGCAGGGGAUGCCUCUGCAUCAGGGUAGAUAAACUUGCCAGUCAGAGAGAGGACAAGCAGGCAGAAAGCAAAAGCUUUGCCCUCCCAUGUCCUUUGAUGUAGGCUGCCUCCAGAACGUGCUCAGCUCAACCGUGGGUCUUUCCCCGCCUCCAACCAUCACAGCGUAAAGUCCCUCACAGGCAUGCGCAGAUGCUGGAGUUUUAGCUGACUCCAGAUGCAGUUGACAACAGACCCAUCUCUUCCAGUGGAUUUGUACAACAUAGCACUGAUACCGAGGGAAGGGAGGAAUAAUUCCCUAAUAUUAUUAUACUGUGACUUCUCAAGGUCUAGCCUUAACCAGGAAGUAAGACAGAAGAGAGAGCAUGGUCAUUUACCUCAGCUAGAGAGUUUACUUAAUUGUUCUAAGGACAGAGGCUUCAAACUCACCCUCUCAGAGGCCUCUUCCUCACCAGGCACGCAGCUUCAGCCAAUCAGGGCAGCAGGGGCACGCCUCCACCAAAUAUGGACUUGUUUAAACCGCCAGCAUCAUGGUGCACCUGUGCAGCUCUCACGAUGGUUGUGGCUUAUUUUCAGGUGUAUGAGGAAGUCAGGUGCAAGUCAUAAGACUUAGCUGCAGUCCCGGGCGCCAUCUUGGGACUGCUGCCACACCCGCUCCUCACAGGUUCCUGUGUUUGAAAACGUGGUACCCAGAUGGUGCUGCUGUUUUGGGAGGCUGUAGAAUCUUUGGGACAAGGGGCUUGCCCAAAAGCAGUAGACCACCCAGGUGCGGUGCGUGGGUUAUAGCCCAGCAUCUUCCGGCCUGAGCUGUAUGUAUCCUGAUGUCUGAGAUGUGAGCUUCUGUACUGCAACUUCCAUUUUUGUGUUUUCUAUACUUUAGUAGACUUUAACCUCCCACACUGUGGCCCCAAAUAAAUCCCAUCUAAAGUUGCUUCUAUUGGGCACUUGGUCACAGCAACGAUGAGAAUAACUGACACAACCUUCUGCCCAUCAUCACAUUCUGUAGCUCACUGGGAUUGUGGAGGCCAAAAUUUCUUAAGUAUCACCUUGGUUUCUAACAUAAAAGUAAGUAAAAAGUAUUCUUGUACUCUCUGUGCCUUUUACAUCUUAGCCCUUUCAUUUGUUUGUUAAGUCCUGGCUUCACAGCUCCAGAGCCAUGCUACAUACUGUCCUGGUUCUCCAGAAACCUUAAAACAUUUCCCAAACAUAGGAACUGGUCUCCUUAAAGUUAACCUGGGCUUCCGCAAAGGGAGAGAAGUCUGUCACAUACAAACAGGCGUGCUCUCUCUACAGGCUCACUCCUGUCCUCCACCAGUUCUGUCAUUAAACUCGAGAUUCUCAAAAGUGUAUUAUGAAAUCGUAGCAUCGUGGAACUCAGAAUUCCAUCUCAACUAACAAUAUAUUUACUAAUAUAAAAGCAGUGAGAAAUGUUUGCUAUAAGAAUCUAUGGCAAGGGCUGGUGAGAUGGCUCAGUGGGUAAGAGCACCCAACUGCUCUUCCAAAGGUCUGAAGUUCAAAUCCCAGCAACCACAUGGUGGCUCACAACCAUCUGUAACAAGAUCUGACGCCCUCUUCUGGGGUAUCUGAAGACAGCUACAGUGUACUUACAUAUAAUAAAUAAAUAAAUCUUUAAAAAAAAAAAGAAUCUAUGGCAAAAAGAAAACAAACAAACAAACAAAAAAAAAACUAUGGCAAGGGCCCAGUAAGGAGGUGACUCAGCAGUUAAAGCACUUGCCACAGGCGAGACCUCAGGAGUAUGGAUCCCUAGAACCUAUGUAAUUAAUGCCAGGUGGCCAUGGUGGCCACAAUUCCAGCCUAUGAAGGAGGAGCACCAGGCUUGCUCGAGGGACCCUGCCUCAAUGACUAAGACAGAAGAACAAUAGAAAAUUCCUGACAUUGUUCUUGGACCUUUAUAGACACAUCUGCAUGUAUGCGCCUGAAUCCACACAUACAUCCACCCACAUACAUACACAUGAAAAGAAAGAAAAGAAUCUGUGGUGGGUGGUAGAAAAUCUAGUGCUUAGUAGGAGAGAGAUGAGCGUUAGGAGUGUGUCAUCAUUGUCAUCGUCAUCAUCAUCGUCACUAUCAUCACCAGUGUUUCAGACAGGUUUCUAUGUGUAUCCCUGGCUGUCCUGGAACUCUCUCUGUAGAUGAGGCUAGCCUAGAACUCAGGCGUCUGCCUGCCUCUGCCUCCUGAGUGUUGGGAUUGGGACAUAAAACUUGAAGAAACACUAACCCUUGGGUGGUUAAACAUAUCGCUUACAGCUUCUUCAAAAUACUCCAGGCAGAGGGUCUCCAUGCUUUGGGGGAGGUCAUCAUAGUUAUAAAAAGCUGAUGCCAUCGUGAUGAAACCCUUUCCAAGCAUCCUAGCCACAAUUCAGGAGGCCACCUCCAACUCCAAAAUGGUUCACAAUCUCAGGAUAGGGCCCUGGUUCUGGGGAAGAAACAAAACCAAACCAAAGCUAAACGUUUAAAAUGAAUAAAAAAAUAAGCACACGGAGACUCUUAGCAACAGCAUCAACAGACAUUAGUUGGUUUUUUUUCUUCUGACAAUCAAAAUUUCAUACAAGACUUCUUCUAGUCUUCAAACAUCUGAGAGUAGUCCUGGCUAAAGAAGGAACCUUUGUACCUUGGGUUGCACUGCUCUGGACCCUGGAGAGGCACAAAUCACACGCAAACACCAAGUUCCAAACACAAAGAGAUCCUUUGUUAAGCAAGGCCGAGAGUCCAGGUGACUGAAGCAGCAGCAAAGAGCAUUGCAGCCUGAACCUGAAAAGCCUCAAGGAGACUUUAGAGAAAUCAUGGUUUGGAAAAUGCUUGUACCCAGUACAUGGGCUACAGAGAAACUGCAGCAGAGCCAACUGCCAGCCUCGACCAGGAGAACGCCCUCAGAUGUUGCUGCCUUGCUCUAUCAGAAGCUCCU